rnacentral:tRNA from 1 species
GGGGUUGUGGCUCGGAGGUAGAGUGCUUGCCUAGCAUGCAUGAGGUGCUGGCUGGGUUCGAUCCUCAGCACCACA